ensembl:miRNA
CCUCAAGGAGCUUACAAUCUAGCUGGGG